UCUGGGCCUUAAAGGAGCAGAGUUACCAUCGCUGGGGCUAAAAAUAGAACCAGCUGGAAAUACGCAACAGGAUACUAAGCACCAGUGAAGCCCUUGAGUGGGUCAGAUGGAAUAAUGAGCGUUUCAAGUGAGCCUGGUGAUGGGACCAAUUGCUCACAAUCCAACACUGCUGACGUGAGCCAGUCUGGAUGCAGCAAGCAUCAGAGACGUGACUUUCCUGAGGCCAGAGAACACAUCAAAAGCAACCGAGAACAUUUAUUGCCAAUGGGCUCCACAAAACUCUUGAGCGCGGUGCAAAUUUUCCACUAACUUAUUAAUGCCACCUGCUUUGCGAUGAACACAAGAAGAUCAGUUAUAAGGGGCGGUGACUUAGCAAUACAAAUAGAGGACGAGCGAAUUAAUUACACGGAAUGCUGGACCGAGCUCGCAGUGGAUGAAGGCGAGAGGUGGAAUAAAUCCGAGGGAAACCUGGGCCUGUGAAACAUCGAGCUACACGCGUCCUUCAGCACAUCCAGUGGCUGCAAAUAAACUUAUUUGGCAAUUUUUUCCCGAAGAUUUAAAGUAGAAAGUUCCCUGCUUUGUCUACUGAACAGACUGUCUAAACUCUUACUCUUUGACACCAGUGUAUCUUUCCUCCGAACCUCGUGAUCUCCCACCGCAGGGAUCAAGGCUGAAAAAUAUGAAUGAUGUCUCCAAGCUCCACAGGCAUUGUUGGUACCCGCAGAAUCCGCUUUGCGUUCCUGUCACUAUUAGU